rnacentral:rRNA from 1 species
UGGCUCAGAACGAACGCUGGCGGCAUGCUUAACACAUGCAAGUCGAACGAGACCUUCGGGUCUAGUGGCGCACGGGUGCGUAACGCGUGGGAAUCUGCCCUUUGCUACGGAAUAACUCAGAGAAAUUUGUGCUAAUACCGUAUAAUGUCGCAAGACCAAAGAUUUAUUGGUAAGAGAUUAGCCUGUAUUGUAUCAGUUAGUUGGUGGGGUAAUGGCUUACCAAGACUAUGACACAUAACUGGUUUGAGAGGAUGAUCAGUCACACUGGAACUGAGACACGGUCCAGACUCCUACGGGAGGCAGCAGUGGGGAAUUUUGGACAAUGGGCGCAAGCCUGAUCCAGCAAUGCCGCGUGCAGGAAGAAGGCCUUCGGGUUGUAAACUGCUUUUGUACGGAACGAAAAGGUCUGGGUUAAUACCCUGGGCUCAUGACGGUACCGUAAGAAUAAGCACCGGCUAACUACGUG